ACGAUAGACUGGGACCAUUAAAAGUUGUCUACGCAAAGGUACUUAAUACCAGCUUGCACCUCUUAACUAGCAUACGUAUUGGAGCAGGAGUAGAUGCUGGACAUCAUUUACAUAUGAUUCGCACCCAGGAAGGACAGAAUACUCUAUGGAGAGAGAGGGCUUCCGGAUUUUCUGACAUAGCAGGGAGUCCUCAGACAGGGGGAAGUGGAGAAACAUCUAUUGUCUUGACAAAUUCUCAGGAGCCAUUAGGAGCAUUUGCCAUGGUGGUCAAUGCCUGAAUACAGACACCAAGUUCCUAGAUACAGAAAACUGCAAUCUCUCAAGUCAACAAUGGAAGAGCAACAGGUUGGGAGAAGAGGAAGAUGACAAAAGGCCCUCCAUCUCACACGAGUAGUCACCAGCUCAGAUACUGACCAUGCAAUUAAGUUCCUACAAGUUGCCUGUCUUUCAGCAGCUGCUCCCUGCAUAUGUGCUAUUGACCUCGUCUGAUACAUGUGAAGACAUUUGUGCCAGAAGUGCAUGAGGAUCUCAGCGACGCACGAACCUCUAAGGCCAUUUGUGCUGCCAAAAAAAGCUGAGGGCUGUCUCUUCAAAUUGUAAACAUCAUUCCCAUGCAAAUAAAUGUGUGAAAAAAUAUAAAAGAUUAUCAGGUAGUUAAAUUAAAAUAAAUAUUUUGCAAAGUAUUUGGUUGACAUAACUCCUCAUUGAAAGGGCACUGAAUUGAAAGAACUCGUGCUGUUGC